rnacentral:lncRNA from 1 species
CAUCUAAGUAAACGUCGACAUUGUUUUGAUUUGAAGACCUUGCAUAUAUAGAAAAUAACUGAAAGACUCUGAAUACAAGGAAACUCUUGAGGGAAUCUAAGCUAAGAUCAUGAAGAACGCACAACAAUUACCGCUUCUUCUUAUCGGCAUCGUAGUCAUGGUCGCAUUCUUCUCUGUUGAAUCGCUGCCGUCCUAUGCAUAGCAGAUAUAUGGGUGCCCAUAUGUAUCCUGUCUAUUCGAGAGGAGGUGCUCAUAGGUAUCCUGGCUAUUUGAUAGGCGGUGCUCUUAUGUAUCUUGGCUAUUCGGGAGGCAGUGCUCAUACGUAUCCUAGCUAUUCGGGAGGCGGUGCUCAUAGAUAUCCUGGCUAUUCGGGAGGUGGUGCUCAUAGAUAUCCUGGCUAUUCGAGAGGUGGUGCUCCUAUGUAUCCUGGCUAUUCGGGAGGUGGUGGUCAGAUGUAUCCUUACUAUUGAGAGGAGAUGGUCAUAUGUUUCCUGGCUAUUCGGUAGGCGGUGGUCAUGCGUAUACUGGCUAUUUGGGAAGCGGUCGUCAUAUGAAUCCUGGCUAUGUGGUAGGCGGUGGUCAUACGUUUCCAUGAGAAAAGCUGUUUUGAGCAAUUAUGCGUUUGUGUACAUUUACUCAAUGGAUAAAAGUAAAACCAGAAAAAUCACAAUAAAAGUAGUCUAGA